GUAGGGUGCGAGCGUUAAUCGGAAUUACUGGGCGUAAAGUGUGCGCAGGCGGCCGAGCAAGUCGAGCGUGAAAGCCCCGGGCUUAACUUGGGAAUUGCGCUCGAAACUACUUGGCUGGAGUGUGGCAGAGGAAGGUGGAAUUCCACGUGUAGCGGUGAAAUGCGUAGAGAUGUGGAGGAACACCAAUGGCGAAGGCAGCCUUCUGGGCCAACACUGACGCUCAUGCACGAAAGCGUGGGGAGCAAACAGGAUUAGAUACCCUGGUAGUCCACGCCCUAAACGAUGACGACUAGUUGUUGGAGGAGUUAAAUCCUUUAGUAACGCAGCUAACGCGCGAAGUCGUCCGCCUGGGGAGUACGGUCGCAAGAUUA
rnacentral:rRNA from 1 species